GCGCGAUACAGGGUGACAGCCCCGUACACAAAAAUGCACAUGCUGUGAGCUCGAUGAGUAGGGCGGGACACGUGGUAUCCUGUCUGAAUAUGGGGGGACCAUCCUCCAAGGCUAAAUACUCCUGACUGACCGAUAGUGAACCAGUACCGUGAGGGAAAGGCGAAAAGAACCCCGGCGAGGGGAGUGAAAAAGAACCUGAAACCGUGUACGUACAAGCAGUGGGAGCACGCUUAGGCGUGUGACUGCGUACCUUUUGUAUAAUGGGUCAGCGACUUAUAUUCUGUAGCAAGGUUAACCGAAUAGGGGAGCCGAAGGGAAACCGAGUCUUAACUGGGCGUUAAGUUGCAGGGUAUAGACCCGAAACCCGGUGAUCUAGCCAUGGGCAGGUUGAAGGUUGGGUAACACUAACUGGAGGACCGAACCGACUAAUGUUGAAAAAUUAGCGGAUGACUUGUGGCUGGGGGUGAAAGGCCAAUCAAACCGGGAGAUAGCUGGUUCUCCCCGAAAGCUAUUUAGGUAGCGCCUCGUGAAUUCAUCUCCGGGGGUAGAGCACUGUUUCGGCAAGGGGGUCAUCCCGACUUACCAACCCGAUGCAAACUGCGAAUACCGGAGAAUGUUAUCACGGGAGACACACGGCGGGUGCUAACGUCCGUCGUGAAGAGGGAAACAACCCAGACCGCCAGCUAAGGUCCCAAAGUCAUGGUUAAGUGGGAAACGAUGUGGGAAGGCCCAGACAGCCAGGAUGUUGGCUUAGAAGCAGCCAUCAUUUAAAGAAAGCGUAAUAGCUCACUGGUCGAGUCGGCCUGCGCGGAAGAUGUAACGGGGCUAAACCAUG
rnacentral:rRNA from 1 species